GGAUUUGUGAUUGCAGAUCAGGGAUCAUCGAAUUUUUGAACGCACCUUGCGCUCCCUGGUAUUCCUAGGAGCAUGCCUGUUUGAGUGUUGAUAGCCUCUCCAAACCUUGGUUUUUUAUUAAAUCGAGUGCUUUGGGUCCCUGGGCCUGUAGCGGCGACGUUACUUGCCUUAAAAGGAUCAAAGAAGACCCAAUCGGAUGUUAAGCAUGAUAUCCUUUGGGGUCUUUGAACGACUAUAAACUAUACAUACAACCUCAAAUCAGGUAGGACUACCCGCUGAACUUAAGCAUAUCAAUAAGCGGAGGAAAAGAAACUAACAAGGAUUCCCCUAGUAACGGCGAGUGAAGCGGGAUGAGCUCAAAUUUGAAAGCUGGCCUCACGGUCCGCAUUGUAAUUUCGAGAGAUGUUUUCCGCGUUGGACCACGUACAAGUCUCCUGGAAAGGAGUGUCAUAGAGGGUGAUAACCCCGUACUUGAUGUGGACGCCCAAGGCUUUGUGAUACAUCUUCGACGAGUCGAGUUGUUUGGGAAUGCAGCUCCAAAUGGGUGGUAAAUUCCAUCUAAAGCUAAAUAUUGGGGAGAGACCGAUAGCGAACAAGUACCGUGAGGGAAAGAUGAAAAGCACUUUGGAAAGAGAGUUAAACAGUACGUGAAAUUGUCAAAAGGGAAGCACUGGAGGUUAGACGUGUGUCGUUGGAUUCAGCUUUUUCUAAAAGUGUAUUUCCGGCGGUACAGGCCAGCAUCGGUUUUCUGGGCCGGAUAAGGGGGAGAGGAACGUAGCUUUCUUCGGAAAGUGUUAUAGCCUCUUUCUUGAUACGGCUUGGGGGACCGAGGCAUGCAGCGCGCCUUUUAGGCGGACCUUCGGGUACCUUCGCGCAUAGAUGCUGCGUAAUCUCC
rnacentral:rRNA from 1 species